UAAAAAUACAAAAAUUACCCGGGUGCGGUGGCAGGCGCCUGUAGUCCCAGCUACUCGGGAGGCUGAGGCAGGAGAAUGGCGUGAGUCUGGGAAGCAGAGCUUGUAGUGAGCCGAGAUUGUGCCACUGCCCUCCAGCCUGGGCAACAGAGCAAGACUCCGUCUCAAAAAAAAACACACAAAAAAACAAAAACUGUAAUCGAGAACUUCCUCAAGACCUACAAAGCUGUUUGAUGGGACUAGCAUGAGGACAAUUGUAUCCUCCGAAAUUGAUUACAAUAGCACUGUUUCUUAAAUGCCUUGAGUGACUGAGCAGCUCAUAUAUAAUAGACCAAAUAUUUAAAAAACAUCUGGGGUUGGGGGUUGGCAGCUACCAGUCAUUUAUUUUAGAAAUAGUAAGUACUUACCUAUAUGCCAAGCACUGGUUCUAAGUACUGGCUGCAUAUACGGCAGACACAAAUCUCUGUCCUCCUGGAGUUUAUAUUUUAGCAGUAGAGAGAGUCAGAUAAUAACAAAAUAAUAAAAUGUGUCAGUAUUAUGCACGUUAGAAUUUUAACUGAUUACAGGCUAUGUUUAAAAAAUGCUGUACCCAGGAGAUCAAGGCUGCAGUGAGCUACGAUGGUGCCACUGCACUCCAGCCUGGGUGAGCAAGAUCCUGUUUAAAAAAAAAAUGCUAUACAGCAAAAUAAAACGGAAAGAGGGAUAGAGUGUACAGAGGUGGCCUUGCAGGGAAUGAAUUUCAGAGAGGUCAGGGGUGUCAGUGAGAAUGUAACAUUUGAGUAGGUGAAGAAGGUGAGAGAUUUAAAUAUAUAGGGGAAGAUUUCCCAGGGCAGAGGUCACAGCAAGUGCAAAGGCCCUGUAUUAGUUCCUUCUCACACUGCUAUAAAGAAUUGCCUGAGACUGGCUAAUUUAUAAUGGAAAUAGGUUUAAUUGACUCACAGUUCCACACGGCAGGGAAGGCCUCAGGAAACUUACAAUCAUGGCAGAAGGGGAAGCAAAUACAUCCUUCUUCACAUGGUAGCAGCAAGGAGAAGUGCAGAGCGAAGGUGGGGAAAAGCCCUUUAUAAAACUAUCAGAUCUUGUGAGAACUCACUAUCAUGAGAACAGCAUGAGAGUAACCACCCCCACUGAGAGACAGGACUAGCUGGAUUUCCUAGGCCGACUAAGAAUCCAUAAGCCUAGCUGGGAAGGUGACCACAUCCGCCUUUAAACACGGGGCUUGCAAC
rnacentral:lncRNA from 10 species